GACGUAGGGUGCAAGCGUUGUCCGGAUUUACUGGGCGUAAAGAGCGCGCAGGCGGUCGUUCAAGUCGAGUGUGAAAGCCCCCGGCUCAACUGGGGAGGGUCACUCGAUACUGAUCGACUCGAAGGCAGGAGAGGGAAGCGGAAUUCCCGGUGUAGUGGUGAAAUGCGUAGAUAUCGGGAGGAACACCAGUGGCGAAGGCGGCUUUCUGGCCUGUUCUUGACGCUGAGGCGCGAAAGCUAGGGUAGCAAACGGG
rnacentral:rRNA from 1 species